GACGAACGCUGGCGGCGUGCUUAACACAUGCAAGUCGAACGGAAAGGCCCCCACUUUUUUGGUGGGGGUGCUCGAGUGGCGAACGGGUGAGUAACACGUGGGUGAUCUGCCCUGUACUUCGGGAUAAGCUUGGGAAACUGGGUCUAAUACCGGAUAGGACCAUGGUUUAGUGUCCCAUGGUGGAAAAAUUAUUGUUUUGGUGCAGGAUGAGCUCGCGGCCUAUCAGCUUGUUGGUGGGGUAAUGGCCUACCAAGGCGUCGACGGGUAGCCGGCCUGAGAGGGUGGACGGCCACAUUGGGACUGAGAUACGGCCCAGACUCCUACGGGAGGCAGCAGUGGGGAAUAGUGCACAAUGGGCGCAAGCCUGAUGCAGCGACGCCGCGUGGGGGAUGACGGCCUUCGGGUUGUAAACUCCUUUCGUUAGGGACGAAGCCGCACCUUUUUUGGGUGUGGUGACGGUACCUUUGUUAAGAAGCACCGGCUAACUACGUG
rnacentral:rRNA from 1 species